rnacentral:rRNA from 1 species
UACGGAGGGUGCAAACGUUGCUCGGAAUUAUUGGGCGUAAAGCGCACGUAGGCGGCCGACUAAGUCGGGUGUGAAAGCCCUGGGCUCAACCCAGGAAGUGCACUCGAAACUGACCGGCUUGAAUAUGGAAGAGGGUCGCGGAAUUCCCGGUGUAGAGGUGAAAUUCGUAGAUAUCGGGAGGAACACCAGUGGCGAAGGCGGCGACCUGGGCCAAUAUUGACGCUGAGGUGCGAAAGCGUGGGUAGCAAACAGG